GACGAACGCUGGCGGCGUGCUUAACACAUGCAAGUCGAACGGAAAGGCCCCCUUGUGGGGUACUCGAGUGGCGAACGGGUGAGUAACACGUGAGUAACCUACCCUUGACUUUGGGAUAACUUCAGGAAACUGGGGCUAAUACCGGAUAGGAGCUCCUGCUGCAUGGUGGGGGUUGGAAAGUUUCGGCGGUUGGGGAUGGACUCGCGGCUUAUCAGCUUGUUGGUGGGGUAGUGGCUCACCAAGGCUUUGAAGGGUAGCCGGCCUGAGAGGGUGACCGGCCACAUUGGGACUGAGAUACGGCCCAGACUCCUACGGGAGGCAGCAGUGGGGAGUAUUGCACAAUGGGCGGAAGCCUGAUGCAGCAACGCCGCGUGCGGGAUGACGGCCUUCGGGUUGUAAACCGCUUUCGCCUGUGACGAAGCGUGAGUGACGGUAAUGGGUAAAGAAGCACCGGCUAACUACGUG
rnacentral:rRNA from 1 species